rnacentral:rRNA from 1 species
UGCCAGCCGCCGCGGUAACACGGGGGGCGCAAGCGUUAUUCGGAAUUAUUGGGCGUAAAGGGCGCGCAGGCGGUCUUGUCCGUCAGGUGUGAAAGCUCGGGGCUCAACCCCGGAAGUGCACUUGAAACAGCAAGACUUGAAUACGGUAGAGGAGAGAGGAAUUCCUGGUGUAGAGGUGAAAUUCGUAGACAUCAGGAGGAACACCGAUGGCGAAGGCACCUUACUGGGCUAUUACUAACACUGAGAGACGAAAGCUAGGGUAGCAAAUGGGAUUAGAUA